AACGAACGCUGGCGGCAUGCCUAACACAUGCAAGUCGAACGAAUUUUCCGGCUUCGGUUGGGAAGUUAGUGGCGCACGGGUGCGUAACGCGUGGGAAUCUGCCCCUUGGUUCGGAAUAACAGUUAGAAAUGACUGCUAAUACCGGAUGAUGACUUCGGUCCAAAGAUUUAUCGCCAAGGGAUGAGCCCGCGUAGGAUUAGGUAGUUGGUGGGUAAAGGCCUACCAAGCCGACGAUCCUUAGCUGGUCUGAGAGGAUGAUCAGCCACACUGGGACUGAGACACGGCCCAGACUCCUACGGGAGGCAGCAGUGGGGAAUAUUGGACAAUGGGGGAAACCCUGAUCCAGCAAUGCCGCGUGAGUGAUGAAGGCCUUAGGGUCGUAAAG
rnacentral:rRNA from 1 species